AACUCAAGAUGGACAUUGAAAAAUUAGCAUCCCUUCUUUUAAAAGAGCCAGCGAUAUGGUGCGCCAAGGACCCACGACACCAUGAUCGCAAUUAUGUGGCUACGGCGUGGAGAAAUAUAGCAAGUGAACUUGAAACAACCGUUGAACUGGUCCAGAAGAAAUACAAAUCUUUGCGGGAUCAAUUCCGUAAGGAACUAAAAACAGCGCCCGCUGGCAAAUCGGGGACCCUGGACUGGCCAGGGAGGAGUAUACCAGCCGGUGGAAAUAUUUCAAUCUCUUUUUUUUUUUGAGAGAUGAUAUGAUCGGACGGAAGUCGUCCGGUAAUACGACUGCUGCUGCGGCUGCUCUACAAGGUGUUCCGCAGGAGACACAAGAAUCUACGGAUUCCGCAUCAACCGAUAAUACCCCCCUGUUGUCCCCUUUGUCUCCUGAGGCUGGACCAUCCAGUGUUAUUCCUUGCCCCUCCCCGUCUCCGUCGAUCUCGACCCCCUCCAGCCAAACUCCGUCCUUUCGUGACCAAGAGUCGCAGCAGAAAUUAGGGGGAAUGGCCAAGAAAAAGAGGGUCACAGCCCUCAACAAAGAUCCCGGGUGGUUCUCCUUAGAAGAAACCAAAGUGGACCUGCUCAGAAAGAUUGCAGGGGGGCAAGAUGAUUCAGAGGAUAUUGACGAAGACAAAAUGUUCCUGCUUUCUUUGUUGCCAUCGUUGCGAAAACUCCUCGGGACCAGGCUUGGGAUCUCAAAAUCAAAUUUGCCCAGCUCCUGAAGGAAGAGCUAGUGAAGACAACAAGCACCCCGUCUCAAGGCACCCUCUCCUAUCAGCCAGACGCCACUUCUCAAGGCCCCUACUCCCGGCAAGACGCUCCCUCAUAUCAGCCAUACGCCACUUCUCAAAGCCACUACUCCCGGCAAGACGCCCCCUCAUAUCAGCCAGACGCACACUUCUCAAAGCCACUACUCCCGGCAAGACGCCCCCUCAUAUCAGCCAGACGCCACUUCUCAAGGCCCCAACUCCCGGCAAGACGCUCCCUCAUAUCAGCCAGACGCCACUUCUCAAGGCCCCAACUCCCGGCAAGACGCUCCCUCAUAUCAGCCAGACGCCACUUCUCCAGGUUCCUAUUACCAACUAACCAGCCCUAUGAAUAAUAUUUAAUUUUUGUGCAUUUUGUAAUUUUUGUUAUUAUACUGAUUACUGUUUUCAUAAAAAAAAAUGGAUUAUACUUAUUCCUCUGCUUGCAUUUAAAAUAUUUGGAUGAAACUUAUUACUUAGAAUAAUUUUGUGCAUUUUGUGAUUUUCCUAUUGUACUUAUUACUCUGUUUGCAAUUAAAUUAAAUGGAUUAAACUUAUUCCUCUGUUUCCGUUUAAAAUAAUUGGAUUAUACUUAUUACUUUGUU